rnacentral:lncRNA from 1 species
UGCCCAUAAAGCCAGGAUUCAUAUUUGGUGCCCACAAAUCCAUAUGCACAGCUCUCAUGGUCUCUAGAUCAAAUAAAUCCCCUCACCUGUCCCACACCUGACCUAUCUUUCAAAGUAUAUAGAUGCCAUUGUCAUUCAUAAAAUACAAACUCCUUAGUAAUCAUUGUGAAGCCAUAGCAAAUUGUACUCAUGUAGUUAAACAAGCAACAUCUUCUGAAAGUUACAGAUAAUCACAAAAGGAGGUGUCCUUGAAAUUUCUGAGUUUCAAAGCAAUUGAUUAAAUUCAUAAUGGUUAGAAAUAUGUGCUCUAGAGCCUAGUAUUAUAGAGAUGAGUUCCUUCCUCAGAACAGGAAAAGUGCUUAGAGAACUCUGGCUGAGCUCUGUUUAGUACUGAAACAACUAGUUGAUAACUGGCCCCACAGAUUGCUAAGAGCUGUCUUUUUUGGACUGCGGAUUUCAAAGCACUUAGUGGAGAGAAAAUUAUACUGGAAGGCAAGAGAAUGUUUUGUUGUUGUUUGUUUUUAUCAAAAGUGUAGACAGUGAUAGCAGCAAGAAACCAGCUGUGAGAUGGAAGAGACACAUGGAUCGGAUCCGGAUUAAAGCAGAAAAUAUAGGAACACUCCCAACAGUAGUCGCAAGUGGUAACCUCUCUCACCUGUCCCUCCAUCCUUUGCUAGGCAGAAUGAUGAUCCGCGAAGACGUUCACAUCCUGAUCCCUGGAAACGGGCACUGACUUUUCAACCACAAACUGCCGCUCCGAAAAGUCACAGGCAGAUGGAUGCUCCAGAGCCUCGGAUCUCCCGGCGCCCUGUUGCAGAGACAGCCACCUGUGCACACAUUGAAAAGUACGAAAGAGCCUAGGCCGCGGGCCUACCACGGGUCACCCACUACUGCAGACGCAGCUACUGGGCAACAACUAGGGAGGUUGCCACAUAUCCCCAGCACAGUCCAGCGGCGGGUAAGUGGAUCUCAAACCCAGUCCUGCUCUGGCCUCGACUGCGGGAACGACACCCUCUGCAGCUCUCUGACCCUCAGUUUCCUAAUCUGUAAGAGCCUGUGUUGGGACGAAAUGGUCUGACAGCUCACGGUCGGCGGGACCCAGGCAACCUAACAGGAAUCCCUGCCCCUGGACCAGCAGAGCGGGGCCAACCCCAUUCUGUGCUGCACCC